rnacentral:rRNA from 1 species
GACCUGACUGCUAUCGGAUUAAUACUAAGCCAUGCGAGUUUUUGUAGUAAUACAAGGCAUACGGCUCAGUAACACGUAGUCAACCUACCCUAUGGACGAGGAUAAUCUCGGGAAACUGAGCAUAAUACUCGAUAGAUCAUAAUGCCUGGAAUGGUUUAUGGUUGAAAUGAUUCGUCGCCAUAGGAUGGGACUGCGGCCUAUCAGCUUGUUGGUGAGGUAAUGGCCCACCAAGGCGAUUACAGGUACGGGCUCUGAGAGGAGAAGCCCGGAGAUGGGUACUGAGACACGGACCCAGGCCCUAUGGGGCGCAGCAGGCGAGAAAACUUUGCAAUGUGCGAAAGCACGACAAGGUUAGUCCGAGUGAUUUCUGCUAAAGAGAUCUUUUGCAAGUCAUAAAACCACUAGUGAAUAAGGGGUGGGCAAGUUCUGGUGUCAGCCGCCGCGGUAAAACCAGCACCUCAAGUGGUCAGGAGGAUUAUUGGGCCUAAAGCAUCCGUAGCCGGCUCUGUAAGUUUUCGGUUAAAUCCAUGCGCUCAACGCAUGGGCUGUCGGAAAUACUGCAUAGCUAGGGAGUGGGAGAGGUAGACGGUACUCAGUAGGAAGGGGUAAAACCCUUUGAUCUAUUGAUGACCACCUGUGGCGAAGGCGGUCUACCAGAACACGUUCGACGGUGAGGGAUGAAAGCUGGGGGAGCAAACCGGAUUAGAUACCCGGGUAGUCCCAGCUGUAAACGAUGCAGACUCGAUGAUGCAUUGGCAUAUAGCCAGUGCAGUGUCGCAGGGAAGCCGUUAAGUCUGCCGCCUGGGAAGUACGUACGCAAGUAUGAAACUUAAAGGAAUUGGCGGGGGAGCACCACAAGGGGUGAAGCCUGCGGUUCAAUUGGAUUCAACGC